rnacentral:rRNA from 1 species
CCUACGGGUGGCAGCAGUGAGGAAUAUUGGUCAAUGGGCGGGAGCCUGAACCAGCCAAGUCGCGUGAGGGAAGACGGUCCUAUGGAUUGUAAACCUCUUUAGGCGGGGAGCAAUGCCGGGCACGCGGGCCCGGAGGGAGAGUACCCGCAGAAUAAGCAUCGGCUAACUCCGUGAAAGCAGCCGCGGUAAUACGGGGGAUGCGAGCGUUAUCCGGUUUGAUUGGGUUUAAAGGGUGCGUAGGCGGAUUUUUAAGUCAGCGGUAAAAUGUCCGGGCUAAACCAGGGCCGGCCGUUGAAACUGGGGAUCUUGAGUGGGCGAGAAGUAUGCGGAAUGCGUGGUGUAGCGGUGAAAUGCAUAGAUAUCACGCAGAACUCCGGUUGCGAAGGCAGCAUACCGGCGCCCGACUGACGCUGAGGCACGAAAGCGUGGGGAUCGAACAGGAUUAGAUACCCGAGUAGUC